GAUGAACGCUAGCUACAGGCUUAACACAUGCAAGUCGAGGGGAAACGAUAUUGGAAGCUUGCUUCCGAUAGGCGUCGACCGGCGCACGGGUGAGUAACGCGUAUCCAACCUGCCCAUCACUUGGGGAUAACCUUGCGAAAGUAAGACUAAUACCCAAUGACGUCUCUAGAAGAAAUCUGAAAGAGAUUAAAGAUUUAUCGGUGAUGGAUGGGGAUGCGUCUGAUUAGCUUGUUGGCGGGGUAACGGCCCACCAAGGCGACGAUCAGGAGGGGUUCUGAGAGGAAGGUCCCCCACAUUGGAACUGAGACACGGUCCAAACUCCUACGGGAGGCAGCAGUGAGGAAUAUUGGUCAAUGGGCGAGAGCCUGAACCAGCCAAGUAGCGUGCAGGAUGACGGCCCUAUGGGUUGUAAACUGCUUUUAUAAGGGAAUAAAGUGAGAGUCGUGACUCUUUUUGCAUGUACCUUAUGAAUAGGGACCGGCUAAUUCCGUGCCAGCCGCCGCGGUAA
rnacentral:rRNA from 1 species